AGAGUAUAAUCGCAAGAUUGAAAUUCAAAGGAAUUGACGGGAGUCUACACAAGCGGUGGAGCAUGUGGUUUAAUUCGAUAAUACGCGCAGAACCUUACCAAUUCUUGUAAAUAUUUUUAAAAAAUAUAUUUUUAAAAAAUACAGGCGUUGCAUGGCUGUCGUCAGCUCGUGUUGUGAGAUGUUUGGUUUAUUCCCUUAACGAGCGAAACCCCUAUUUUUAGUUGCUAAUUUAUAUUUAAGAAAGUCUCUUAUUAUAAAUGCACUUUAAAAAAAGUUAAUGACAUAUUAAUGGAGAUGGGGAUUACGUCAAGUCUUCAUGGCCCUUAUGAAUUGGGCUACACACGUGCUACAAUGAUAAAUACAAUGAGAGGCAAUAAUAAUAAAAAAUUGGAGCAAAUCUUUAAAAUUUAUCUUAGUUCGGAUUAUGGGCUGCAACUCGCCCAUAUAAAGUUGGAAUCGCUAGUAAUCGCAAAACAG
rnacentral:rRNA from 1 species